GUAACACGUAGGUAACGUACCCUUGGUGAGGAACAACCAGGGAAACCUGGGACUAAUGGCCACCUAUGUCCUUCGGGAUGAAAGUCGAAAGACGCCAGGGGGAUCGGCCUGCGGCCCAUUAUCUAAUCCUAGUUGGUAGGGUAACGGCCUACCAAGGGUACGAUGGGUAGCUGGUCUGAGAGGAUGAUCAGCCACACUGGGACCGAGACACGGCCCAGACUCCUACGGGAGGCAGCAGUGGGGAAUAUUGCGCAAUGGGCGAAAGCCUGACGCAGCCAUGCCGCGUGAGUGAUGAAGGCCUUCGGGUCGUAAAGCUCUGUCGGGAGGGACGAAGGGUGGCAACACUCUGACGGUACCUCGCAAGAAAGCACCGGCUAACUCCGUG
rnacentral:rRNA from 1 species